CCGCACCGGGCCUAAAAGCUGCAUGGUUCAAAGCGUGGGAAAAAAGUAGCGGCUUAUAGUCUGAAAAAUGCGGUUAAUUCAAAGAAUUGGGGAACGUAUUUCAUUUUGAAAUCAAGUUCUCAGAGUUUGGUAGAAGAGUGGAGAGGCACAGAUUCCCCACUGCUUGAAGUUCAGUGUAAAUAUUCAGGAGUGAUUUGGUGUUGGUCCACAGUAAACUUCAAUCAAUGACCAGCUUUUAGACAGAAUGUUUGGUUUUCAUUAUCUGGAAGCCUUGAUCAUCAAGAGUAUAAGGCUUGACAUAUUUCACUAUUUGUAAUAAAUCUGCAUAGUAUACAAGUUUCACUAUCUGAAAUAAGUGACAAAAAAAUUGUAAGUUUUUUUUUUAUUUUUACAAUAUAUCAAAAUAUUAUGGCAUGAACCUGUACAGUGUAUGAGAACUUCAGGUUUCAGUUGUAAUUCUGAAGUGGCAUAAUGGACUGUUUCUCCUCCGGCUUCAUCUACUGUCAUGGUUUUCUGCUUUACUGUCAACAGAAUGUUUUGUUCUGUUUUUCUCCAAAUUUCAGAUUGACAGGAACGACAGCACAGAGUGAAUGGAAAAUUUCUGGAUUGCGCACGAGCAGAGAGGCAUACAAACAUAACUCAAGGAAUCAUGUUGGAGGUGCACAUGUCUGGCUGGAUAUGUUUUUAUAACAUGCAAACAAAAAAACGUCAAUCCCUGAGGUGGAUUUUUUUUUCAGUUCAGCUUUUAAAACAAAUGUGUUUUGCUAGUGUAUUUUAGUGAAAUAAAGGGCUACAGACUUUGUAAUAAGUGAAACAGGACGAAUAGAUUUAGGCGGAAUUUUAUUACUUAUUAGAUUUAUAUGGAUUUGUUCCACAUACCACAAUUCAUCUUGACUGAAAACUAAGUGAAAGUAAAUCCUAACGAGUCCAGACAUGGAUAUUAAAGAUGGCUUAAGUGCAUUGUUGGAAUUUUGUCUGAUCUGUGUUGCCUUUUGGGAGGAGGGGGGUAACAAGACUGACUGGCUCAUUCGUCCGCGGUGUCUCUUUCCUUGAACACAAGUGUGGGCAUGUUCACAUAUCAAACCUAUCUGUUUCACGACUUUCGUUCUGUGCAGGUCAGCCAACUCCAGAGCUCCCUCUUCCCCAUGCCGUUUCAGAGCUGCCGCACCCCCUCCUGUCGCAUUCCAGCUUCAGCAGCCCCGAGAGAGCUGUAACACUGGGAAAGCUUUACCCCAGCAGUCAAGGCUGUUCGUGGUCAAGCGCCGCUGUGACACGAGAGAGCUCAGAUCGUCUGUCAUUCUGUCUGCAGGCGACACAGUACACCCAUCACUGUCUGUCUGACACCACAGCUGUGAUACAAUCUCGUCUUCUCUGUGUGGUUCCAGUCUGCCGGUGCAGAUGGACGCAGGGAGGGGCCGUCGUAAUAAACGGAUGGACACAGAAGAGGAGAAAGUGUGGGGGGCUUCUGUCACUAGUCUAAGACCAGUUUUCUUCACUGAAGACAAGCCUAUACACAGCAUGCUGCCAUCGCUAUGCAUCACUAUGGGGAUAAUGUGUUCACGUCUUACAACUGUACCAUUUUUAAGAUUCUUGCAGUUUCUUCUGAAUUGGCUGGUGUCAAACUGCAAACAUAACUUCAUGUGCACAAACCAUUCAGAGCUUCAGUAGUUUUGUUAUGUUGAAGCCUUCCUUUUUGCUAUUCCUCUGCAUGUAAAUUAGCUAUUCUUUGCCACAAUUGCCUUUGAAAAGGCAUGUUUGUUGUGUAGCAUUGUAUUUCGAACUGUCAGAGUAAAAGGAAAGAGGAAAGGGGGGAAGAUUUCUUUUACUGAAAACCGUAUAAACAUUUCCUUCCCCUUCAAAAUGAUGUCAUACAUCUUGUUGGUCUGUCACAUAAAAUCCUAUUAAAAUA